rnacentral:rRNA from 1 species
AUACGGAGGAUCCGAGCGUUAUCCGGAUUUAUUGGGUUUAAAGGGUGCGCAGGCGGCCAUUUAAGUCAGCCGUUAAAUCGUGGGGCUCAACCCCAUUCUGCCGUUGAUACUGGGUGGCUUGAUUGCGGUCGAGGUUGGCGGAAUUCGUUGUGUAGCGGUGAAAUGCAUAGAUAUGACGAAGAACGCCGAUUGUGAAGACACCUCACGAAGCGGUAACUGACGCUGAGGCACGAAAGCGUGGGGAUCGAACAGGAUUAGAUACCCUGGUAUUCCACGCAGUAAACGAUGAUGACUAACCGUCGGCGAUAGACCGCCGGUGGCCAAGCGAAAGCGAUAAGUCAUCCACCUGGGGAGUACGACCGCAAGGUUAAAACUUAAAGGAAUUGACGG